GAUGAACGCUAGCGGCAGGCUUAACACAUGCAAGUCGAGGGGCAGCACGGGUAGCAAUACCUGGUGGCGACCGGCGCAAGGGUGCGUAACGCGUGAGCAACAUGCCCUAUACAGGGGGAUAAUCCAGGGAAACUUGGUCUAAUAUCCCAUAGUAUUUAGAGGAGGCAUCUUCUAUAAAUUAAAGCUUCGGUGGUAUAGGAUUGGCUCGCGUGACAUUAGCUAGAUGAUGAGGUAACGGCUCACCAUGGCAAUGAUGUCUAGGGGUUCUGAGAGGAAGGCCCCCCCAACUGGGACUGAGACACGGCCCAGACUCCUACGGGAGGCAGCAGUGAGGAAUAUUGGACAAUGGAUGGAAAUCUGAUCCAGCCAUGCGCGUGCAGGAAGACAGCCCUAUGGGUUGUAAACUGCUUUUAUAUGGGAGCAAUAAGGUCUACGUGUAGACUGAUGAGAGUACCAUAUGAAUAG
rnacentral:rRNA from 1 species